GAGAAAACGACACGAACGCUGGCGGCAUGCCCAAUAGUUUAAGUCGAGACGAGAUCUUCGGCAUCUAGUGGCGCACGGGUGCGUAGCUGGGAAUCUGCCCUUGGGUUCGGAAUAACUUCUGGAAACGGAAGCUAAUACCGGAUGAUGACGUAAGUCCAAAGAUUUAUCGCCCAAAGAUGAGCCCGCGUAGGAUUAGUGUAGUUGGUGAGGUACAAGGCUCACCAAACCGACGAUCCUUAACUGGUCUGAGACGAUGAUCAGCCACACUGGGACUGAGACACGGCCCAGACUCCAUAAGGAGGCAGCAGUAGGGAAUAUAGGACAAUGGGCGAAAGCCUGAUCCAGCAAUGCCGCGUGAGUGAUGAAGGCCAUAGGGUAGUAAAGCUACUUUUACCCGCGAUGAUAAUGACAGGUACCGGGAGAAUAAGCUCCGGCUAACUCCGUGCCAGACAACCGCGGAAAUAACGGAGGGACGUAAACAUAAGAUCGGAAUUAAUUGGGCGUAAAGACGCACCUAUGCGGCUAUUCAAGUCCAGAGGUUAAAGCCCGGGGCUAAACCCAGAAAUGACUUGGAACAGAUACUUGAAUCCAGGAAAGGCGAGUGCAAUCCCAAUGAAAGGGGAAUACGACAAAUCGGAAAAACACAGGGGGAAGGAC
rnacentral:rRNA from 1 species